AGAGUUUGAUCAUGGCUCAGGAUGAACGCUGGCGGCGUGCUUAACACAUGCAAGUCGAACGAACCUUCGGGUUAGUGGCGGACGGGUGAGUAACGCGUGGGAACCUGCCCUCAGGAGGGGGAUAACGGCUGGAAACGGCCGCUAAUACCCCAUAUGCCGAGAGGUGAAAAGAAAUUCGCCUGAGGAUGGGCCCGCGUCUGAUUAGCUAGUUGGUGGGGUAAGAGCCUACCAAGGCGACGAUCAGUAGCUGGUCUGAGAGGAUGAUCAGCCACACUGGGACUGAGACACGGCCCAGACUCCUACGGGAGGCAGCAGUGGGGAAUUUUCCGCAAUGGGCGAAAGCCUGACGGAGCAACGCCGCGUGAGGGAUGAAGGCCUCUGGGCUGUAAACCUCUUUUCUCAAGGAAGAAGAACUGACGGUACUUGAGGAAUAAGCCACGGCUAAUUCCGUGCCAGCAGCCGCGGUAAUACGGGAGUGGCAAGCGUUAUCCGGAAUUAUUGGGCGUAAAGCGUCCGCAGGCGGCCUUGUAAGUCUGUCGUUAAAGCGUGGAGCUUAACUCCAUUUGAGCGAUGGAAACUACAAGGCUUGAGUGUGGUAGGGGCAGAGGGAAUUCCCGGUGUAGCGGUGAAAUGCGUAGAUAUCGGGAAGAACACCAGUGGCGAAGGCGCUCUGCUGGGCCAUAACUGACGCUCAUGGACGAAAGCCAGGGGAGCGAAAGGGAUUAGAUACCCCUGUAGUCCUGGCCGUAAACGAUGAACACUAGGUGUCGGGGGAAUCGACCCCCUCGGUGUCGUAGCCAACGCGUUAAGUGUUCCGCCUGGGGAGUACGCACGCAAGUGUGAAACUCAAAGGAAUUGACGGGGGCCCGCACAAGCGGUGGAGUAUGUGGUUUAAUUCGAUGCAACGCGAAGAACCUUACCAGGGUUUGACAUCCUGCGAACCUCUGAGAAAUCGGGGGGUGCCUUCGGGAACGCAGAGACAGGUGGUGCAUGGCUGUCGUCAGCUCGUGUCGUGAGAUGUUGGGUUAAGUCCCGCAACGAGCGCAACCCACGUCUUUAGUUGCCGGCAUUCAGUUGGGCACUCUAGAGAGACCGCCGGUGAUAAACCGGAGGAAGGUGUGGAUGACGUCAAGUCAUCAUGCCCCUUACAUCCUGGGCUACACACGUACUACAAUGCUACGGACAAAGGGCAGCAAGCUCGCGAGAGUAAGCAAAUCCCAUAAACCGUGGCUCAGUUCAGAUCGUAGGCUGCAACUCGCCUACGUGAAGGAGGAAUCGCUAGUAAUCGCAGGUCAGCAUACUGCGGUGAAUACGUUCCCGGGCCUUGUACACACCGCCCGUCACACCAUGGAAGUUGGCCACGCCCGAAGUCGUUACUCCAACCCUUGUGGAGGAGGACGCCGAAGGUGGGGCUGAUGACUGGGGUGAAGUCGUAACAAGGUAACC
rnacentral:rRNA from 1 species